ensembl:lncRNA
ACUUUACAGGCGACAAGUGAAUGAGUGAAAGUCACUCACUCAUGUCCAACUCAUGGAAUUCCCCAGGCCAGAAUACUGGAGUGGGUAGCCAUUCCCUUCUCCAGGGGAUCUUCCCAACCCAGGGAUUGAACCCAGGUCUCUCGCAUUGCAGGCAGAUUAUUUACCAGCUGAGCCACAAGGGAAGCACACAGGCAACAAAGCUGAGGUUCUAGGUAACAGCCAGAAUCCAGCCUCCUGCCCCCUCAGCCACCUCCACACCAGGCAUUUAUCCUGGGGUGUCCUGCCCUCUGUGGGGUCAGAUGUCCCUUGACCGCUCACAUUCCACCACCCCAUCCCCUUCACAACCAUAGGCCUGCACGGACAGCUCUCCUUGACCCAUAGUCUAGCCUCUCAUCUUGGUGUUCCAAAUAUCCAUUGCUGAGUUUUAAUAUAAGGUAAUUAAGCCCAAUGACAAAAGCAUCUCCAGGAGGAAGGUGUGACUGAAGCUGCUACUGUUUGAUUGACAUUCAAGACCAUCCUGUCUGCCCAGGGCAGUUCCCAGCCUCUGAAGAAUCAGGUUGACUUUCCUGAUUUCCCUGCCGCAGGGGUGUAACCUGUUUUUCUUUGAACCUCUGGAACUCUUCACCUGCUGCCACUUGGGACUCUCACCUGGUCUACCUGGGCUCAUAGUCCUGUUGCUGCUGCUGCUGCUGCUGCUGCUAAGUCGCUUCAGUCGUGUCCGACUCUGUGCAACCCCACGGACGGCAGCCCACCAGGCUCCCCCGUCCCUGGGAUUCUCCAGGUCUGUCUUCCCACCAGGAAAAGGACCAGGAAGAGGAGUUCCAGGCCUUUCAAGGAAGAUAGUCGACAAUGUCCAAGUCAAGGUGGGACGAGAUCUUCCAAUGCAGAGAUUGCACACAACACAGGAGAUACUGAAUAGCAGUGGAGUGAAGGAUUGAAGCGUGUGGGAAUGCAGAGCUGGUCCCUGAGCUGGAAGGAUUCACACUGAAAGGUUGGGCCUCUAGGGACGUAACUAAGAAAGUGACACUCAUAGAAUCAUGAGACAUGGUUACGGCCAGAGGAAAACACUAUCCAAGUUUUAUUUAGAAGCCUAGCUUGGGAGGAAUAUCUUUUUUGGCUUUUAUAUUGACUUUCUGAACAGCAGGCCCUAUUUUAUGCUCUACGUUGGAAGUGAAAUUUUUCCUAUAUCUGUAACAAGAUCUGUAACAAGAUCUGUAA